AUUAAACGCUGGCGGCAUGCCUUACACAUGCAAGUCGAACGGCAGCACGGGGGCAACCCUGGUGGCGAGUGGCGGACGGGUGAGUAAAGCAUCGGAACGUAUCCUGGAGUGGGGGAUAACGUAGCGAAAGUUACGCUAAUACCGCAUAUUCUGUGAGCAGGAAAGCAGGGGAUCGCAAGACCUUGCGCUCUGGGAGCGGCCGAUGUCGGAUUAGCUAGUUGGUGGGGUAAAGGCCUACCAAGGCGACGAUCCGUAGCGGGUCUGAGAGGAUGAUCCGCCACACUGGGACUGAGACACGGCCCAGACUCCUACGGGAGGCAGCAGUGGGGAAUUUUGGACAAUGGGCGCAAGCCUGAUCCAGCCAUGCCGCGUGAGUGAAGAAGGCCUUC
rnacentral:rRNA from 1 species